GAUCAUGGCUCAGAUUGAACGCUGGCGGCAGGCCUAACACAUGCAAGUCGAACGGUAACAGGAAGCAGCUUGCUGCUUCGCUGACGAGUGGCGGACGGGUGAGUAAUGUCUGGGAAACUGCCUGAUGGAGGGGGGAUAACUACUGGAAACGGUAGCUAAUACCGCAUAACGUCGCAAGACCAAAGAGGGGGACCUUCGGCCUCUUGCCAUCGGAAUUGUUGCCCAGAAUGGGAGUUAG
rnacentral:rRNA from 1 species